GAUGAACGCUGGCGGCGUGCCUAAUACAUGCAAGUCGAGCGAACAGACGAGGAGCUUGCUCCUCUGACGUUAGCGGCGGACGGGUGAGUAACACGUGGAUAACCUACCUAUAAGACUGGGAUAACUUCGGGAAACCGGAGCUAAUACCGGAUAAUAUAUUGAACCGCAUGGUUCAAUAGUGAAAGACGGUUUUGCUGUCACUUAUAGAUGGAUCCGCGCCGCGUUAGCUAGUUGGUAAGGUAACGGCUUACCAAGGCAACGAUGCGUAGCCGACCUGAGAGGGUGAUCGGCCACACUGGAACUGAGACACGGUCCAGACUCCUACGGGAGGCAGCAGUAGGGAAUCUUCCGCAAUGGGCGAAAGCUUGACGGAGCCACGCCGCGUGAGUGAUGAAGGUCUUCGGAUCGUAAAACUCUGUUAUUAGGGAAGAACAAAUGUGUAAGUAACUAUGCACGUCUUGACGGUACCUAAUCAGAAAGCCACGGCUAACUACGUG
rnacentral:rRNA from 1 species